GUCGUAACAAGGUCUCCGUAGGUGAACCUGCGGAGGGAUCAUUACACAAAUAUGAAGGCGGGCUGGAACCUCUCGGGGUUACAGCCUUGCUGAAUUAUUCACCCUUGUCUUUUGCGUACUUCUUGUUUCCUUGGUGGGUUCGCCCACCACUAGGACAAACAUAAACCUUUUGUAAUUGCAAUCAGCGUCAGUAACAAAUUAAUAAUUACAACUUUCAACAACGGAUCUCUUGGUUCUGGCAUCGAUGAAGAACGCAGCGAAAUGCGAUAAGUAGUGUGAAUUGCAGGAUUCAGUGAAUCAUCGAAUCUUUGAACGCACAUUGCGCCCUUUGGUAUUCCAAAGGGCAUGCCUGUUCGAGCGUCAUUUGUACCCUCAAGCUUUGCUUGGUGUUGGGCGUCUUGUCUCUAGCUUUGCUGGAGACUCGCCUUAAAGUAAUUGGCAGCCGGCCUACUGGUUUCGGAGCGCAGCACAAGUCGCACUCUCUAUCAGCAAAGGUCUAGCAUCCAUUAAGCCUUUUUUUCAACUUUUGACCUCGGAUCAGGUAGGGAUACCCGCUGAACUUAAGCAUAUCA
rnacentral:rRNA from 1 species